AUUGAACGCUGGCGGCAGGCCUAACACAUGCAAGUCGAACGGUAACAGGAAGAAGCUUGCUUCUUUGCUGACGAGUGGCGGACGGGUGAGUAAUGUCUGGGAAACUGCCUGAUGGAGGGGGAUAACGACUGGAAACGGUAGCUAAUACCGCAUAACGUCGCAAGACCAAAAAGGGGGACCUUCGGGCCUCUUGCCAUCGGAUGUGCCCAGAUGGGAUUAGCUAGUAGGUGGGGUAACGGCUCACCUAGGCGACGAUCCCUAGCUGGUCUGAGAGGAUGACCCGCCACACUGGAACUGAGACACGGUCCAGACUCCUACGGGAGGCAGCAGUGGGGAAUAUUGCACCAUGGGCGCAAGCCUGAUGCAGCCAUGCCGCGUGUAUGAAGAAGGCCUUCGGGUUGUAAAGUACUUUCAGCGGGGAGGAAGGGAGUAAAGUUAAUACCUUUGCUCAUUGACGUUACCCGCAGAAGAAGCACCGGCUAACUCCGUG
rnacentral:rRNA from 1 species